rnacentral:lncRNA from 1 species
GUAAACUGUCUCCAGUGGGGGAGGGAAUGGGGAAGAGGGGAUUAGAAAAGGAAGUUUCAAUUCAAAGCAUGUGCAAACCUCAUCUCCCAGGGCAUACCAAGCAGCAUCAUUAAUAUCUGACCUGUCACUACCAUCUGGAGUGCCAGCUCAUUUCAGACCAAUGAGGGAAAAAGCCUUUGCAGGCAGUUUUCUAAGUGGCACUGGGAAAGGAGUGAAUUGGCUGCUUCAUUAAUAAAGCAGGAUAGAAUGUGGGCACCAGUGCCAGCCAGACAGUCUGCUGCUGCCUGGAGAAUUUGGCUGCAGCAUUGUUUCCAGACUCUCGGCAAAAAAAGUCAAGACCGGAUAUAUGGGGAGAGGAAGGAAGGGAGGAAAUUGGCUGGUUGGUCGGAAGGAACCGGAUGCGACGGCUUCCGGGCCUCCAGGAUGGGAAAAAAAGGUUAAUGAUUCAUCCACACCAUUCAUUCAUGCAUGCAUUCAUUUCAUGAUACUUAUUAAGCAUCUACCACGUGCCACAUUUUCUUCUAGAUGCUGAAGAUACAGGAACCAACAAAUAUUCCUGCCCUUAUGGAGCUUAUAUUCUAAUGAGAGGGACACAGACUGUAAACAUACAAAUAAUUAAAAUACUAUAUCAGAUGGAGAGAAGUAAUUUGGUCAAAAGGUAGCAGGGAAGGAAGAACAGAGCUUGCGCGGGGUGGGUGGAUGGGGGUCCUGAUUUUAAACAGUAAUCACAGAAGGCCUCAUGAAGUGACAUUUGAGUAAAGAUUUUGUAAAGAUACCGUGCUGGUCACUGUUCUAAGCACUUUACAAUUAUUUAUGUCAUGAAUGCUCCCAACAACCCCAAGAAACAUGGCUAUGAUUAUUCUGGUUUUACAAAGAGACUGAGGUUCAGAGAUGCAGUGACUUCAGAGAUCACACAGCUAGAAAGUGGGAGAAUUGGGAUUUGAAUACAGACUUGUCUGAACUUCAGCGGCUGCACGCUUUCAUAUCGGUGCAGACGCUGUCCACAAACCGGGUUUGGGAAAGGGCAAGUUACGGGUGCAAAUGGAGCCUUGCAGGUGCCCACGAAUCGAAUAUGGUGCCACCACCCGUGGGCAAGUGUGGGCGGACUUGAUGGGGGACGGGUGGCUAGCGAUUUUCACAGCGCUGAAUCAGGGCUCUGCGUCUGUGGCCGGGGAGUUCCGUGGCCCAGCUGCAGGCGAGGUGAGCCGGUGGGGGAGGGAGCGCAACUGCAAGGGUUGUCCCGGGACAGUGCCGGUACGAACCUCACCCCGCCGCCACCCCCGGGCCAGCUGCUGCAGUCAAUAAGGCGAGGGCCUAGCAGGCGCUCGUCGCCCUCCUGGUGGGGUUCGCUCGGGUGUUCCUACCAGGGUUGAAGAGGGCUAGGGAGCUGAGCUCCGGAAGGGCGGACUAGAGGCCCCAGCGGCCACUCCUAGAGAGGCGGGCAGCUCGGGAGGUCUGAGCGCAGAGGGCGGGCGGAGCCGCACGUUGCGUGGAAUCCCCUAGUUCAUUCCCGGGAGAGCCCCGGGCGCAGGACAGAGCGGUGGAGGGGCGCCUGGGAGCUCUGGGGGACACCAAGAGAAGAGAGGUUAGGGCCAGUGCGCAGCAAACGGGGAGGAACUACGACGCGCUGGGUAGAAAGAGUAAGAGAGGCGCACCCACUUUGCUGGUGAGGGGGGCACACGGGGAGCCUAAGAAAGGCCUAAAGAGGUAGUGGGUGUGAGCCAGCCUCGGGCGCGUUAAAAAGGGGGCGCCGGAGGGAGGCAAGGAGAGGAAGUUGGGUGUAGGAAGAAGCGAGAGGAAACUGUUGCCUGGACAGAGCGUGCCGUGCCAAAGCGCGGAAACGGGAUCAAGGAGGGGGCAUCAGGAAUCGCCUGGGGACCCCCCGGAGAGUGGCGGAAGCGGUGCCCUUGGGCGCAGCAAAGAGAGAAGGGAGCACAGGCUGAGAUAGAGACAGUCCUGGGCGCUGGAGAGCAGGAGCCCCCGGAGCGGCAGGGAAAGGAACGUAGAGCCUGCAUGCUCGGGGUAUGAGCUUACUGCGCUCGCUAGGGUGGCGCGCACUGGGGCUCUAGAAAAGAGGGUUGAGAAGCCCCGGGCAAGUGCCUAGGAAGGUCAGAGGAGUCAGCAAAGUCCACGGAAGAACUUCCCCGGGUUGGAGAGGAAACGCACCCUGGGAGCUGGAAAGAAGAGGAAAGCUAGCCUGGGGGAAGCUUGAUCAGGGCUCUGAGUACCACGAGGAGUGCAGAGGAGGUGCUGAUGAUUGCGGGGAGAGCUCUGAGAGCCCGAGAAAGGAACAUUCUGAUACAGGCUAGUUCAUCAGAACCAGAAGUGAAGUCCCCUGUUUAUGACGUUAUCAAUCUCACCAGAGACCUGCAUCUGUUAUUAUUUUUUCUUGAAGAACCAACAUUUCAUUUUUUAAAAAAU